rnacentral:rRNA from 1 species
UACGUAGGGGGCGAGCGUUGUCCGGAAUUAUUGGGCGUAAAGGGUGCGUAGGCGGUGAUUCAAGUCAGGUGUGAAAGACCCGUGCUUAACAUGGGGGUUGCACUUGAAACUGGAUGACUUGAGUAUGGGAGAGGCAAGCGGAAUUCCCGGUGUAGCGGUGAAAUGCGUAGAGAUCGGGAGGAACACCAGUGGCGAAGGCGGCUUGCUGGACCAAGACUGACGCUGAGGCACGAAAGCGUGGGUAG